rnacentral:rRNA from 1 species
UAAUUGAAGAGUUUGAUCAUGGCUCAGAUUGAACGCUGGCGGCAGGCCUAACACAUGCAAGUCGAGCGGUAACAGGAGAAAGCUUGCUUUCUUGCUGACGAGCGGCGGACGGGUGAGUAAUGUAUGGGGAUCUGCCCGAUAGAGGGGGAUAACUACUGGAAACGGUGGCUAAUACCGCAUAAUGUCUACGGACCAAAGCAGGGGCUCUUCGGACCUUGCACUAUCGGAUGAACCCAUAUGGGAUUAGCUAGUAGGUGGGGUAAAGGCUCACCUAGGCGACGAUCUCUAGCUGGUCUGAGAGGAUGAUCAGCCACACUGGGACUGAGACACGGCCCAGACUCCUACGGGAGGCAGCAGUGGGGAAUAUUGCACAAUGGGCGCAAGCCUGAUGCAGCCAUGCCGCGUGUAUGAAGAAGGCCUUAGGGUUGUAAA